rnacentral:rRNA from 1 species
UACGUAGGUGGCAAGCGUUGUCCGGAUUUACUGGGCGUAAAGGGCGUGCAGGCGGUUUGUUAAGUCUGAUGUGAAAGCCCUGGGCUCAACCUGGGAACUGCAUUGGAAACUGGCUUACUAGAGUGCGGUAGAGGGGUGUGGAAUUCCCGGUGUAGCAGUGAAAUGCGUAGAUAUCGGGAGGAACAUCUGUGGCGAAGGCGACACCCUGGACCAGCACUGACACUGAGGCACGAAAGCGUGGGGAGCAAACAGG